AGGGUUUGAUUCUGGCUCAGGAUGAACGCUAGCUACAGGCUUAACACAUGCAAGUCGAGGGGAAACGACAUCGAAAGCUUGCUUUUGAUGGGCGUCGACCGGCGCACGGGUGAGUAACGCGUAUGUAAUCUACCUGUAACAGAGGGAUAACCCGGAGAAAUCCGGACUAAUACCUCAUAGUACAUAUUAUUCGCAUGAGUUUUAUGUUAAAGAGAUUCGGUUACAGAUGAACAUGCGUUCCAUUAGCUAGUUGGCGGGGUUACGGCCCACCAAGGCAACGAUGGAUAGGGGUUCUGAGAGGAAGGUCCCCCACAUUGGAACUGAGACACGGUCCAA
rnacentral:rRNA from 1 species